rfam:Rattus norvegicus chromosome 4, whole genome shotgun sequence.
GGGGAUUUAGCUCAGUGGUAGAGCGCUUGCCUAGCAAGUGCAAAGCCCUGGGUUCAGUCCCCA